CCGGACCUAGCGGCGGACGGGUGAGUAAUGCUUAGGAAUCUGCCUAUUAGUGGGGGACAACAUCUCGAAAGGGAUGCUAAUACCGCAUACGUCCUACGGGAGAAAGCAGGGGAUCUUCGGACCUUGCGCUAAUAGAUGAGCCUAAGUCGGAUUAGCUAGUUGGUGGGGUAAAGGCCUACCAAGGCGACGAUCUGUAGCGGGUCUGAGAGGAUGAUCCGCCACACUGGGACUGAGACACGGCCCAGACUCCUACGGGAGGCAGCAGUGGGGAAUAUUGGACAAUGGGGGGAACCCUGAUCCAGCCAUGCCGCGUGUGUGAAGAAGGCCUUAUGGUUGUAAAGCACUUUAAGCGAGGAGGAGGCUACUCUAGUUAAUACCUAGGGAUAGUGGACGUUACUCGCAGAAUAAGCACCGGCUAACUCUGUGCCAGCAGCCGCGGUAAUACAGAGGGUGCGAGCGUUAAUCGGAUUUACUGGGCGUAAAGCGUGCGUAGGCGGCUUAUUAAGUCGGAUGUGAAAUCCCCGAGCUUAACUUGGGAAUUGCAUUCGAUACUGGUGAGCUAGAGUAUGGGAGAGGAUGGUAGAAUUCCAGGUGUAGCGGUGAAAUGCGUAGAGAUCUGGAGGAAUACCGAUGGCGAAGGCAGCCAUCUGGCCUAAUACUGACGCUGAGGUACGAAAGCAUGGGGAGCAAACAGGAUUAGAUACCCUGGUAGUCCAUGCCGUAAACGAUGUCUACUAGCCGUUGGGGCCUUUGAGGCUUUAGUGGCGCAGCUAACGCGAUAAGUAGACCGCCUGGGGAGUACGGUCGCAAGACUAAAACUCAAAUGAAUUGACGGGGGGCCCGCACAAGCGGUGGAGCAUGUGGGUUUAAUUCGGAUGCAACGCGAAAGAACCUUACCUGGCCCUUGACAUACUAGAAACUUCCAGAGAUGGGAUUGGGUGCCCUUCGGGGAAUCUAGAUACAGGUGCUGCAUGGGCUGUCGUCAGCUCGUGUCGUGGAGAUGGUGGGGUAAGUCCCGCAACGAGCGCACCCCUUUCCUACUUGCCAGCAUUUCGGAAUGGAACUUAAGGGUCUGGCCAGUGACAAACUGGAGGAGGGCGGGGACGACGUCAAGUCAUCAUGUGGCCUUAGCGCCGAUGGGCCUCACCACACGUGU
rnacentral:rRNA from 1 species